rnacentral:rRNA from 1 species
AUUGAACGCUGGCGGCAGGCCUAACACAUGCAAGUCGAGCGGAUGAAGGGAGCUUGCUCCUGGAUUCAGCGGCGGACGGGUGAGUAAUGCCUAGGAAUCUGCCUGGUAGUGGGGGAUAACGUCCGGAAACGGGCGCUAAUACCGCAUACGUCCUGAGGGAGAAAGUGGGGGAUCUUCGGACCUCACGCUAUCAUAUGAGCCUAGGUCGGAUUAGCUAGUUGGUGGGGUAAAGGCCUACCAAGGCGACGAUCCGUAACUGGUCUGAGAGGAUGAUCAGUCACACUGGAACUGAGACACGGUCCAGACUCCUACGGGAGGCAGCAGUGGGGAAUAUUGGACAAUGGGCGAAAGCAUGAUCCAGCCAUGCCGCGUGUGUGAAGAAGGUCUUCGGAUUGUAAAGCACUUUAAGUUGGGAGGAAGGGCAGUAAGUUAAUACCUUGCUGUUUUGACGUUACCAACAGAAUAAGCACCGGCUAACUUCGUG